AGUGAACGCUGGCGGCAUGCCUAACACAUGCAAGUCGAACGGCAGCACAGCAGUAGCAAUACUGUGGGUGGCGAGUGGCGGACGGGUGAGGAACACAUCGGAAUUUGCCCAGUCGUGGGGGAUAACGUAGGGAAACUUACGCUAAUACCGCAUACGAUCUACGGAUGAAAGCAGGGGACCGGCAAGGCCUUGCGCUCAUGGAGCGGCCGAUGGCAGAUUAGGUAGUUGGUGGGAUAAAAGCUUACCAAGCCGACGAUCUGUAGCUGGUCUGAGAGGACGACCAGCCACACUGGGACUGAGACACGGCCCAGACUCCUACGGGAGGCAGCAGUCGAGAGGCUUCGGCAAUGGGGGAAACCCUGACCGAGCGACGCCGCGUGAGGGAUGAAGGCCCUUGGGUUGUAAACCUCUUUUGUUCGGGAAGAAGUGCGAUCAGGUGAAUAAUCUGGUCGUUUGACGGUACCGGACGAAUAAGCUCCGGCUAACUCCGUGCC
rnacentral:rRNA from 1 species